rnacentral:lncRNA from 1 species
CCUAGACUUUUUUCUGAACAUCUUGCUGUGUCUCCUUGUGAGUGGUAGGCCAGGCUCCCUUGAGCCUUCCAGGUGCAGUCCUAGUAGCUUUCACCUCCCUCUAGAGCUGGCAAACCCCCUUUAUCCUGCCCUAUCGCAUGCGUGACCUUCCACAUGGCGCCAGACCUCUAGCGUGUACUGUGUCGUCUCUAGGGCUCUGUGUACCAGAAGACCAAUGCCGUGUCUGAGAUCAAGAGAGUUGGCAAGGAUAACUUCUGGGCCAAAGCUGAGAAGGAGGAGGAGAACCGCCGCCUGGAGGAGAAGCGGCGGGCUGAAGAGGAGAAGCAGCGGCUGGAGGAGGAGC